AACGUAGGAGACAAACGUUAUCCGGAGUUACUGGGCGUAAAGGGCGUGUAGGCGGUCUGUUAAGUCUGGCGCGAAAGCUCUCGGCUAAACCGGGAGAGGUCGUUGGAUACUGGCAGACUAGAGGACGGUAGAGGCGUGUGGAAUUCCGGGUGUAGUGGUGAAAUGCGUAGAGAUCCGGAGGAACACCAGUGGCGAAGGCGACACGCUGGGCCGUACCUGACGCUAAAGCGCGACAGCAUGGGGAGCAAACGGG
rnacentral:rRNA from 1 species